rnacentral:misc_RNA from 1 species
GAUGAAGAACGUAGCGAAAUGCGAUAAGUAAUGUGAAUUGCAGAAUUUAGUGAAUCAUCGAAUCUUUGAACGCACAUUGCGCCCCCUGGUAUUCCGGGGGGCAUGCCUGUUCGAGCGUCAUUUCACCACUCAAGCCUCGCUUGGUAUUGGGCAAUGCGGUCCGCCGCCUGCCUCAAAUCGACCGGCUGGGUCUUCUGUCCCCUAAGCGUUGUGGAAACUAUUCGCUAAAGGGUGUUCGGGAGGCUACGCCGUAAAACAACCCCAUUUCUAAGGUUGACCUCGGAUCAGGUAGGGAUACCCGCUGAACUUAAGCAUAUCAAUAAGCGGAGGA